GACGAACGCUGGCGGCGUGCUUAACACAUGCAAGUCGAACGGAAAGGCCCUGCUUUUGUGGGGUGCUCGAGUGGCGAACGGGUGAGUAACACGUGAGUAACCUGCCCUUGACUUUGGGAUAACUUCAGGAAACUGGGGCUAAUACCGGAUAGGAGCUCCUGCUGCAUGGUGGGGGUGGGAAAGUCUCGGCGGUUGGGGAUGGACUCGCGGCUUAUCAGCUUGCUGGUGGGGUAGUGGCUUACCAAGGCUUUGACGGAUAGCCGGCCUGGGAGGGUGACCGGCGACCUGGGGACUAAGGUACGGACCAGACUCCUACGGGGGGCAGCAGUGGGAAAUAUUGCACAAUGGGCGGAAGCCUGAUGCAGAAACGCCGCGUGCGGGAUGACGGCCUUCGGGUUGUAAACCGCUUUCGCCUAUGACGAAGCGUUACUGACGGUAAUGGGUAAAGAAGCACCGGCUAACUACGUG
rnacentral:rRNA from 1 species